GAUGAAGAACGUAGCGAAAUGCGAUAAGUAGUGUGAAUUGCAGAAUUCAGUGAAUCAUCGAAUCUUUGAACGGACAUUGCGCCUUCUAGUAUUCUGGGAGGCAUGCCUGUUUGAGCGUCAUUAAACCUCUCUCAAGUAUGAUUACUUGGAUGUGAAGGAAGAGUACCUUAAACUUAAGGAGUGUUCUCCUUUGAAAUUGAUUAGCAGAUGGUAAUGUUAUUAAAUCCCUGAUGUUGUAAGAAAUAACAGUGGUUUUGUAGACUAUUAUCUAGCUUUAAAUUAUAAUUUUUAUUAUGGUUGACCUCAAAUCAGGUAAGGAUACCUGCUGAACUUAAGCAUAUCAAUAAGCGGAGGA
rnacentral:misc_RNA from 1 species